UACGGGGGGGGCAAGCGUUGUUCGGAAUUACUGGGCGUAAAGGGCUCGUAGGUGGCCAACUAAGUCAGACGUGAAAUCCCUCAGCUUAACUGGGGAACUGCGUCUGAUACUGGAUGGCUUGAGUUUGGGAGAGGGAUGCGGAAUUCCAGGUGUAGCGGUGAAAUGCGUAGAUAUCAGGAGGAACACCGGUGGCGAAGGCGGCUUGCUGGGCCUUACCUGACGCUGAGGAGCGAAAGCGUGGGGAGCGAACAGG
rnacentral:rRNA from 1 species